GGAAGAAGUGGAAAAGAGGGCUUUGGUAUCCUACCCUGGAAUGUCCCAGGACAUACCACAAUUCAUGGAUAACAUUAACUCGGUGGACCGACACAUCAAAUUCACCAGGGAGGAUAUGAAAAUUGGCAGGUUAGCCUUCUUAGACUGUGAGAUUUCCAUCAGUAAUGGGGGACAUCUAAAAGCUGAUGUGUACCGUAAACCUACGCAUACGGAUCAGUAUUUAAGGUUUGACUCUCAUCAUCCACUGGAGCAUAAAGUGGGUGUCAUCAGGACGCUACAACAUAGAGCCAACACCAUCCCCACAGACACAGCGGCCAGGGAGGCAGAAGAACAUCACAUCAAGAAGGCCCUUAGUAAAUGUGGUCAUCCCACCUGGACAUUUGUCAAAGCUGGUAAGACACCUAAAGAAAGCUCUAGCCAAUCCAGGAGAGAAGGACAACUGCUGCCUAAGCAAAAACCCAUAGUGAUCCCGUAUGUGUCAGGAGCAUCAGAACAGCUGAGACGCAUUUUUUCUAAACACCGUGCCUUGGUGGCUUUUAAACCCCACACACAAAAAAUUGGUCCACCCCAAGGAUCGGGUCCCCCGACCCAAACAGAGUAAUGUAGUGUACCAAAUGAUUUUAUAUUUACAGUGAGUCUCGUGCUCUGGUUGUGAUGAAGGCAAAUAAUGUCUUCCUCCAUUUUCUUCAUGAAAGGGAAAAAAGACCAGAAAUAUACCAUCCAGGUGCCAGUGGUGAAUUCACAUGCCAGAGAGUAAGAAGACAUCUUAUUUUAAAUAUGAAGAUGAUUUUGAUCUACAUCAUCAUCGCAACUCCAGCAAUGACCGCUGUGCCACAAGGGUCUUCAGAAUGCAAUCUAACUGAACCUGGACCCCAGACGUGUUUUGGAGUUUUAGGAGAACCACUCGUUUUUUACAUACCUACUAAACCACAUAUGAAGACAAGCUUGAAAAAGAGUACAGAAAAAAUUUUAACCUUAAUAAAUGAUACAUUAAUUAGUCUCAAUGAAAAAUACAAGAAUCGUACUAUAUUUUUCCCAAAUGGAACAUUGAAACUCGAAAAAGCAACAAAAAAUGACUCUGGAGAGUACAGCAUGGAAACACACAGUUCUACUGACGGUGUGUUAUUGCACACAGUUAACAUCCAUCUACAUAUACUCGCUCCUGUGUCAGAACCAGCUGUUAUGCAGAUGUGUUUGUCACCAAAACAGAUGACAGUCAGCUGUUUCUCUGAAGGAGAUGAAGUAGAGCUCAUUUUGUCUUUGGAUGAUAAGUUGUUGAUACAGACUACAGCCAACAGUACAGAAAACAACAGCGUUUCAAAUGUUACCAUCAACUUACCUGGUCAGCUAAUGGGAAACCUGACAUGUGUUGCUCAAAACAAUGCCAGCAGAAAACAAACUAUCACCCACCUUACAAGCUGCACAGCUCCUGUGUCAGAACCAGCUGUUUUGCAGAUGUGUUUGUCACCACAACAGAUGACAGUCAGCUGCUCCUCUGAAGGAGAUGAAGUAGAGUUCACCUUGUUUUUGGAUGAUAACUUGUUGAUAAAAACCCAACCUAGCAUUGCAGAAAACCGCAACAUUUCAAAUGUUUCUAUCAGUUUACAUGGUCAGCUGCUGGGAAAGCUGAUGUGUAUCGUCCAAAACAAUAUAAGCAGAGAACAAACCAUCAUCCACCUUAUAAGCUGCACAGGUAAUAUUUCUGACCACUGCAUUGUGACUGUGGCUGUGGUAGUAAGCGCUGUUGCCAUUCUACUCAUUCUGGCUGUGUUUCUUGGUAUCCGGAAAUUCAAAAACACAACUGGCAUUAUGACUGUUAAUGAAGAUGAAGCUGAAGAGGACGUUGUCUACUCAGAUAUUAGACUGAAGCAGCUUGCAAGAGAAUCAAGAGAAACACCACCUAUUUCAAAUCAAGAUGAAAGUUAACAUUCUCCUAAACAGUCUGACAUUCUGAAACCUAAACCCUAACAUGUUGACUUUCAGUCAACUGUCUAAUAAAACUAUGGCACUUUAGCAAUUCCAUCUUUGCAGUGAACGUGAAGGUAAACAUAUUUAACAAGUACUCACUGGAUUAUUAAUUUUGAAGGAAACAUAAAGGGGGGGAAAGUUAUUUAGAAGGCAUUUGAUAUACAUGAAAUACUUAUUUAUACUUAUUUAUAAAUGCUUUAUAUUUGAACUACAUUUUAUUUGACAUAAUUUAAAUAAACUACAUCAACCUUGUAAAGGUUCUAACCAACAUUUAACCUUGGAGAUUAAAUAAAAGGCUUUGAUCAGUGAUGGUGCUUUCCUUGUGUUGUGUUAAGCAGACGUGGGCUGUUCAUUUUGUUUGAGAUAAAAACAUCAGGGCUACUUUUUCCUGUGUUGUCAUGACAUUAAAACCACAAACUAUAUCCUGUUUUCACUGAGCUGCUAAACCUCUAAACCAUGUGACAUUACCUAAGCUUCACAGUUGUCAGUGAGAAAGGGGAAAAAACUGUAUAAUGCAUAAAACACUGGCUUGUUUGUUCACAGCUGUUGAUCAUAGUAGAGAAUUAAGAGAUCAAUUUUUUUGAAGACGUUUUACCUCUCAUCAGGUGGAAAGUCCCAGUCCCUAGUAGGGGCUAUCCCUUAGGAGGUGAUCAUUGACCCACUAUUAAUCAUCUGCGAC
ensembl:lncRNA